rnacentral:rRNA from 1 species
GACGAACGCUGGCGGCGUGCUUAACACAUGCCAGUCGAACGGAAAGGCCUCUUUCGGGGGGUACUCGAGUGGCGAACGGGUGAGUAACACGUGAGUAACCUGCCCUUGACUUUGGGAUAACUUCAGGAAACUGGGGCUAAUACCGGAUAGGAGCUCCUGCUGCAUGGUGGGGGUUGGAAAGUUUCGGCGGUUGGGGAUGGACUCGCGGCUUAUCAGCUUGUUGGUGGGGUAGUGGCUUACCAAGGCUUUGACGGGUAGCCGGCCUGAGAGGGUGACCGGCCACAUUGGGACUGAGAUACGGCCCAGACUCCUACGGGAGGCAGCAGUGGGGAAUAUUGCACAAUGGGUGGAAGCCUGAUGCAGCAACGCCGUGUGCGGGAGGACGGCCUUCGGGUUGUAAACCGCUUUCGCUCAUGACGAAGCUUUGUGUGACGGUAGUGGGUAAAGAAGCACCGGCUAACUACGUG